GACGAACGCUGGCGGCGUGCUUAACACAUGCAAGUCGAACGAGAAUCUACUGAAAGAGUUUUCGGACAAUGGAUGUAGAGGAAAGUGGCGGACGGGUGAGUAACGCGUGAGGAACCUGCCUUGAAGAGGGGGACAACAGUUGGAAACGACUGCUAAUACCGCAUGAUGCAUAGGGGUCGCAUGAUUCUUAUGCCAAAGAUUUAUCGCUUCAAGAUGGCCUCGCGUCUGAUUAGCUAGUUGGCGGGGUAACGGCCCACCAAGGCGACGAUCAGUAGCCGGACUGAGAGGUUGAACGGCCACAUUGGGACUGAGAUACGGCCCAGACUCCUACGGGAGGCAGCAGUGGGGAAUAUUGGGCAAUGGGCGCAAGCCUGGCCCAGCAACGCCGCGUGAAGGAAGAAGGCUUUCGGGUUGUAAACUUCUUUGUUCAGGGACGAGUAGAAGACGGUACCUGACGAAUAAGCCACGGCUAACUACGUG
rnacentral:rRNA from 1 species